UCAUUAAAGUACAGAGGAAGGAAGUAGCCUUCAGAAGCCAGGACCUUGUCUUGGUUCUUAGAAUAAUGCUAGCAGAGUACAUGUAAGAAGACAAGUGAUUGCACCAGAUUUCAAAGACCAAUGCAGAGUUCUUUCUUGAUGUGCUAUGUGUUUUAAAAUGCGCAUGUUGU